CUGGAGGUAUCAGAAGUGCGAAUGCUGACAUAAGUAACGAUAAAGCGGGUGAAAAGCCCGCUCGCCGGAAGACCAAGGGUUCCUGUCCAACGUUAAUCGGGGCAGGGUGAGUCGACCCCUAAGGCGAGGCCGAAAGGCGUAGUCGAUGGGAAACAGGUUAAUAUUCCUGUACUUGGUGUUACUGCGAAGGGGGGACGGAGAAGGCUAUGUUGGCCGGGCGACGGUUGUCCCGGUUUAAGCGUGUAGGCUGGUUUUCCAGGCAAAUCCGGAAAAUCAAGGCUGAGGCGUGAUGACGAGGCACUACGGUGCUGAAGCAACAAAUGCCCUGCUUCCAGGAAAAGCCUCUAAGCAUCAGGUAACAUCAAAUCGUACCCCAAACCGACACAGGUGGUCAGGUAGAGAAUACCAAGGCGCUUGAGAGAACUCGGGUGAAGGAACUAGGCAAAAUGGUGCCGUAACUUCGGGAGAAGGCACGCUGAUAUGUAGGUGAAGCGACUUGCUCGUGGAGCUGAAAUCAGUCGAAGAUACCAGCUGGCUGCAACUGUUUAUUAAAAACACAGCACUGUGCAAACACGAAAGUGGACGUAUACGGUGUGACGCCUGCCCGGUGCCGGAAGGUUAAUUGAUGGGGUUAGCGCAAGCGAAGCUCUUGAUCGAAGCCCCGGUAAACGGCGGCCGUAA
rnacentral:rRNA from 1 species